AUUGAACGCUGGCGGUAUGCUUAACACAUGCAAGUCGAACGGUAACAGGCCUUCGGGCGCUGACGAGUGGCGGACGGGUGAGUAACGCGUAGGAAUCUGCCUCAUAGUGGGGGACAACGUGGGGAAACUCACGCUAAUACCGCAUACGCCCUACGGGGGAAAGCGGGGGAUCUUCGGACCUCGCGCUAUGAGAUGAGCCUGCGUUAGAUUAGCUAGUUGGUAGGGUAAAGGCCUACCAAGGCGACGAUCUAUAGCUGGUCUGAGAGGACGAUCAGCCACACUGGGACUGAGACACGGCCCAGACUCCUACGGGAGGCAGCAGUGGGGAAUAUUGGACAAUGGGCGAAAGCCUGAUCCAGCAAUACCGCGUGUGUGAAGAAGGCCUUAGGGUUGUAAAGCACUUUCAACUGGGAGGAAAACCCACCGGUCAAUACCCGGUAGCUUGACAUUACCUUUAGAAGAAGCACCGGCUAACUCCGUGCCAGCAGCCGCGGUAAUACGGAGGGUGCGAGCGUUAAUCGGAAUUACUGGGCGUAAAGCGUGCGUAGGCGGUUCGUUAAGUCAGAUGUGAAAGCCCUGGGCUCAACCUGGGAACUGCAUUUGAAACUGGCGGACUAGAGUUUAGUAGAGGGGAGUGGAAUUUCAGGUGUAGCGGUGAAAUGCGUAGAUAUCUGAAGGAACACCAGUGGCGAAGGCGACUCCCUGGACUAGAACUGACGCUGAGGUACGAAAGCGUGGGUAGCAAACAGGAUUAGAUACCCUGGUAGUCCACGCCGUAAACGAUGUCGACUAGCCGUUGGUCCUAUUUACAGGAUUAGUGGCGCAGCUAACGCAUUAAGUCGACCGCCUGGGGAGUACGGCCGCAAGGUUA
rnacentral:rRNA from 1 species